rnacentral:rRNA from 1 species
CAAAGGAAUUGGACGGGGCCCGCACAAGCGGUGGAGCAUGUGGUUAAUUCGAAGCAACGCGAAGAACCUUACCAGGUCUUGACAUCCCGAUGCUAUUUCUAGAGAUAGAAAGUUACUUCGGUACAUCGGUGACAGGUGGUGCAUGGUUGUCGUCAGCUCGUGUCGUGAGAUGUUGGGUUAAGUCCCGCAACGAGCGCAACCCCUAUUGUUAGUUGCCAUCAUUCAGUUGGGCACUCUAGCGAGACUGCCGGUAAUAAACCGGAGGAAGGUGGGGAUGACGUCAAAUCAUCAUGCCCCUUAUGACCUGGGCUACACACGUGCUACAAUGGUUGGUACAACGAGUUGCGAGUCGGUGACGGCGAGCUAAUCUCUUAAAGCCAAUCUCAGUUCGGAUUGUAGGCUGCAACUCGCCUACAUGAAGUCGGAAUCGCUAGUAAUCGCGGAUCAGCACGCCGCGGUGAAUACGUUCCCGGGCCUU